UCCACGCCGUAAACGAUGAAUACUAGGUGUCGGCCCGUCAAGGGUCGGUGCCGCAGCUAACGCAUUAAGUAUUCCACCUGGGGAGUACGAUCGCAAGAUUGAAACUCAAAGGAAUUGACGGGGGCCCGCACAAGCGGUGGAGCAUGUGGUUUAAUUCGAAGCAACGCGAAGAACCUUACCAGGUCUUGACAUCCUUUUGACCGGAACUUAAUCGUUCCUUUCCUUCGGGACAGAAGUGACAGGUGGUGCAUGGUUGUCGUCAGCUCGUGUCGUGAGAUGUUGGGUUAAGUCCCGCAACGAGCGCAACCCUUAUCUUUAGUAGCCAGCACGUAAUGGUGGGGACUCUAGAGAGACUGCCGGUGAUAAACCGGAGGAAGGUGGGGAUGACGUCAAAUCAUCAUGCCCCUUAUGAUCUGGGCUAC
rnacentral:rRNA from 1 species